rnacentral:tRNA from 1 species
CCCUCUAGCUCAGUUGGUAGAGCAUGGUGUUUGCAACGCCAGGGUUGUGGGUUCGGUUCCCACGGGGG